UUUGUUGGUGUUUGUGUAGCAGCUCUAGCUUUAUGUGUUGCUGUAUGUUUUAAAUCGCGCUGUGAUCGACGGGGAGCCUGUGGAUCUUUAUGCCAGAGAAUUACUUUUGUGGUUUUGCUGAUGCUCCUAAUUACAUUGACCUGGCUUUGGAUGUCCGAAGUGCCAGACAGUGACAGAGGGCGUCUGGGACGGAUCUGCGAAGUGACUUUUCU